CUGAUCCCACACAACCCGCAGCAAGUGGCCAGUGAGUAGAGAACAGCAGAGAAGCCAUGUGGGGAAGCAGCAGGGGGAAAUGCUGGCUCUGUGGCCUUCUGGCUGCGUGACUUCAGUCAAGUUACUUACCCACUCUGAUCCUCAAAUGCUCUAAGAUUCGCGACCUGCCCAGGCUCUGCACCUCCUAUGUUGCUAAGGCCUCCCGCCUCCUGGCUGGCCCCACACGUGUUCUCCAUGCUGAUGGCAGUGAGUGACAGUGAGGCGUUCCUUGGGUGAAUAGAAAACCAAGGCCACCUGGAGCCCGCCCCACAUCCUGCUCUGGGGCCUGAAGAGCGCGGGCACCCUCAGCCAGCGCUGCGUGAGACCGGCAGGGGCAGCAGAGGAUUGGAAAGACUCAUUGAACUUCACCUGGUGGGCGUUGAAGAUUAAACCCGAACCACAGGCAAAGCCCCUCUCUACGAGGCUCACGUUCUAGGGGGAAGCAGCAGAAGAAAAGCAUCGCUCCAAGCCCGCAGCUGCAGACGUCUCCCUGAGGAGCGUCCAGUCUUUCAUCACGCUGCGGAGGACAGGAUGAUCCAUGGCUCAGGAAUCUGCUUAGUCAAUAACUCAAUUCUGCAGCUGGGCCACAUUUGUAAGCAGUGAUAGCACACCCCAUGGGAACCCAGAAUCCAAUUAGGGCUACGGGCUGCAUCAUUUCUCAUCCCUCGCUCCGCCUUCCACAGUCCCCGGCCAUCCAUCUUUCUUGGCUGAAGACUCCCCGAGGUCUGCGGGGGAAACUUCGGACCCUCCUAUUGGGGGCCUGAGCUGCCCUCUGAUCCUCGCUGCAGCCACCGGUAUUGGAAUCAAAGCCUGAGGAGACAGGUUUUUCUUGGUCCAUGGGACUGGGGCACUCAGGAUAAUUCCAGGCUUUCAGCAAACAGAGACAUUUCCUUACCUCAAGCCCACUUAGUCUUGGAGGUCCCGGGUCUUUUCAAACUCACCCAUCGCCAGGAUGAUGCCCUGGUCCAUUGGUGUGAGGUUGCGUGAAUUGCUUAUGGGCAGCAGGUGUUGAAAGAGAGCUUGUUAGAAAAUCAGACAUGAGGAUGUUCACAAUAGGGAAAGCAGACCCCAAAGAGGUUUAAUUAGCUUCUUUCGCUCAAAAAUGCAAAUGUGCUAUUCGAUAAGGGCUACCUGGCUUGGCAUUAGGCCAUAAGACCAGAAGUUUCUGGAUAUUUUUGAGAUUCAUGCUCACUUCCCCAAUUCUAGGACUAUUGAGGAUUUUUUUUUUCCUGGAAAUUUCUGAUGGGCUAGAUUUGUUCCACGGGUUCGGCCUACUGGUUUUAUGAGGACCUCAUUUGUUCUACAACAUUUUUUUCCAGAGUUCAGCCCCUUUACUUUAUGAACUAGGUUAGAUAAGGGACAGCAGAUAUCUUUCAACUUGCAGGUCAACUCCAAUAGAUUUGGUGGUGGCUGCUUUAAAAACUGGGUCUAGAAGCAUUCAGAGUCCUAACUGGGCAUAGAAGGGAAGAAUGCCAUGUGCAUUUAGCAAAGCCCUCUGUGCCUGCCAGAGGGUGAGAGGCGGCAGGUGUGCCACAUGAUUUGUUAUCAUUGCACUGAACCAUCCUAAGCUCUGAGAGGAACCCUGUUAAAUAAGACAAGCAGAUCUGGCCCUUAAGUUGGUCUCAGUGUAGCAGGGACGAUGAGCUGGCAGGUGCUCCCAGGUCACUGAUGAUGCCCUGGUGGAGGCAGAUGCAAGCAUGAGUGUGCCAUACUGUCUGAGCACAUGGAAUUUGAAGCUGUUCAUUUCUCCGCAUAAAUCCUGCUUCUGAGACUUACCUGCUGGGUGGCAGGGGACUAGUCAUUUUAAAUGCCCCGAGCCACAGUAUCUUCAUCUGUAAAAUGAAUAUCUAUCUCACAAGGUGGUGGUGGUCAUUAAAUGACAUCAGAUUUGGAAGCAUUAGAUGCUUACCUUUUAGUAAGGAUUACCAGAAUAAGUACCGUUGAUGUGGAAACACAAAUAGGCCUCCAAACUUUGUCUUGGGUACAGAGAAGCCUCCACAGGGAGGUUCUGUUUUGUAUUGCAAGUGGUACCCAGGCAGCAUUCAGUAGAAGAAGACAGAGGCCACUCAACACAGGGGAGGACAUUCUGUCCCCUUGGUUAGGGAAACCUGAACUAUGGAAUAAAAAUAUAUAUAUGUUAGGGUCAAAAUUCAAAACAACUCUCCUGAAAUAAAGAAAGACUUGAAUUUACUGACUGAAAGGUAAAUUGAUACAGAGUGGUCAAUGCUGAGACAGAUCCUCAUAGAUGAAUGUUUGACUUCAAAGAGAAAAUUCUAAUGGUUUCCAGUGAAAAACCCUUCCUCCAAAAACCAGGUUUAAAAAAAAUACAAAGAAUCACUCAGAAACUCAAACCAAGAGCAGGACUUCCAGAAUGGCGGAAUAGGAACCUCUGAAGAUAUGCUACUCCAUGGAAGCAAGAGAAUAUUGUCAAAAAUUGUCACAAUCAACUUUUUCAGAGCUCUGGAAAUUUACUGAAGGCUUUAAACAAUCUGAAUGUCAUUUAUUCAGGAAAAAAUGGCUAAAUCAUGGUUGGAAUAGCAAGUUUUGUAGUGUUUUAACUUGCCUUAUUCCAUCCUUCUCUCCAGCUCCAUGGUUGACUUGAAAACUAAAGGUCUUACAACCAUGGUAGCUGUGAAAACCAGCAGCCUGGCAGCCAGUGGAAAGGAGAGAAAGAGUUUGGACCUUUCCAAAAAAACCCCUCCACAGAGAAUUGUCACUAUUUGAUCUGAUGGCUUCCUGGAAAAGCUCUCUUCUUAGGGAUUAUCUUUAGACAUGGUUCAGAGCUUACACUGUGCCAACAGCCCUAUUCUGAGGGCAUUUGUCAAAAACAAUCAGCAGCCUGGGAUGGCAAUACUAGUUAACAGGAAGCUGAUCAAAGCACUUAAAAGGAAAAACUGGGGAAUGAAAUAUUCAUAGGGGUUUGGAAAAGCUCUGGCAUAUUCCUGGAAUUCUAGAUGGCCACAUGCAUGUGCUGGGUUGUACACACGCCCAAGAAAGACUUGCAGAGGGCUUAACCUCUGAUUGACCUUGAGGCUCUGAGCAAGCAAGAAGCAAAAAUUGAGGCAAAGUCGUAAGUUGCUGCUGGAGGAUUGAAGACAUACCCCAACGCACACAAAGUUUCAUAGCAAAGGUGGAGAGACUAAGUGGUUCAAACAUUAAAGGAAAUCUCUGUCCAGUCAUUAGCUGACCACUGAACUAGCCAAGGAGAGACAUUAGAGGCACACAUGGCAAAGAAUGCAGACUUCAGGAAAGUCACUAAACAAACAGAAACAGCAGUAGCAGCAAUAACAAAAAUGAAAAGCGCAGCAGCAGCAACAAUAACGACAACAGCCUUGGAAGAAGUUUGAUUUUCAGAGUUGAUUGAUUUCCAGAGUUGAUUGAUUUCCAGAGUUGCCAUAUUGUAUUAUUUAAAAUGUCCAGUUUUCAAGAAAAAAUUAUGAGAGGUGCAAAUAAAUAGAAAUGUAUGAUCUAUUCACAGGAAAAAAGUGGUCAAUAGAAACUGUCACUGAGGAAGACUAGUGCGGGACUUGCCAUUAAAGACUUUAGGUCAGCUGUUCUAAACGUGUCCACAGAUCUAAAGGAAGCCAUAGCUAAAGAAUGAAAGGAAAGGAGGAUGAUGUCUCAUCAAAUAGAAAUAUAAUGAAGAGGCAGAAAUUAUAAACAAGAGCCAAACAGAAAUUCUGGAGUUGAAAAGUACAAUAACUGAAAUAAAAAAUUCACUAGAGAGACUCAACAACAGAUUUUAGAGAUUUUAUAGCCUGAGGAACAGAAAGAAGAAAAAUGAAUAGGGCCUCAGAGACCUGUGUUGCAUCAUCAAACAUACCAACAUAUGCAUAAUGGGAGUUCUAGAAGGAGAGGAGAGAUAGACAAAGGCAGAGCAAAUAUUUGAAGAAAUAAUUGCCAUUAGGUUCCCAAAUUUGAUGAGAAACAUUAAUCCACACACAUUGUCUAAGUUGGAUAAACCCUAAGAGAUCCACGUCUGGAUCAGAGUCAAACUGUCAAAAGACAAACACAAAGAGAACCUUCAAAGUAGCAAGAGAAAAACAACGCACCACUCACAAACAAUCCUCAAUAAGAUUAGCAGCUGACUUCUCAUUAGGAACCAUGAAGGGGAAGGCAGUGGGAUGGCACAUACUCAAGGUGCUGAAAGAAAGCCUGUCAACCAAGAACUCUAUAUCUAGCAAAACCACCCUUGAAAAAGCACAGAAGAAAUUUCCAGAUAAACAAAAAGUGAGAGAAUUCACCACUAACAGACCUUACCUACAAAAAGUACCAAAGGGAGUCUUUCAGGCUGCAUUGAAAGGACAUUAGGCAGUAACUCGAAUCCACGCAAAGAAAUAAAGAGCACUGUAAAGAUAAUUACACAGGUAAAUAUAAAAGAGAGUAGGAACUGGCCCAGUGGUGCAGCAGUUGAGUUCCCACAUUCUGCUUCCGUGGCCCGGGGUUCACUGGUUCGGAUCCCAGGUGUGGACCUAUGCACUGCUUGUCAAGACAUGCUGUGACACCAUCCCACAUAUAAAGUAGAGGAAGAUGGGCACAGAUGUUAGCUCAGGGCCAGUCUUCCUCAGCAAAAAGAGGAGGAUUGGUGGUAGAUUUUAGCUCAGGGCUAGUCUUCCUCAAAAAUAAAAGAAAGAAAAAAUAUAUAAAAGUGAGUAUAAUGAAUCUUUGUAAUUUUUUUCUUACCCUAUCUGCUUUAAAAGACAACUGCAUAAGUGAGGAAUUAUAAAACUGUGUCGAUGGGCUUAUAAUGUAUAAAGAUGUAAUUUGUGUGACAAUAAUGUACCUAAACAUUGGUUAACAUAAGAAAAUUAAUCAAAGUAUGUACUAUUAUUAAUACAAGGAAUGGCAAAAUCACAUAAUCUUAAGAGAUGCAGAAAAAGCAUUUGACAAAAUCCAACACCCUUUCAUGAUAAAAACACUCAAGAAACUAGAAAUAGAGGAGAACUUCUGAAACCUGAUAAAGGACAUCUACAAAAAACCACAUCUAACAUCAUCACACUUACUGGUGAAAGACUAAAUGGCUUCCUCCUAAGACCAGGAAGAAGGCAAGGAAGUCUGCCCUGACCGCUCUAUUCAAUACCGGAUUAGAGUCUAAGAUAGGGCAGUUAUGCAAAUAAAUAAGUAAGGAAAUAAAUAAAAAUAAUUCACAUCCAGAUUGAAGAGAAAGAAG
ensembl:lncRNA